CUCAACUUUAUUUUUUAAAUCUGUUCUGAAUAAAGUCUGUAAGUGCAGACUCUGUAGAAAAUGAUUUUGGGGGGCGCCUGGGUGCCCCAAGGCUUGAAAGUCUUAUUUACAAAUUAGGUACUGUUGCCAGAGAGAGAACUUAUAGGUAUUUUUAU